GAUGAAGAACGCAGCGAAAUGCGAUAAGUAAUGUGAAUUGCAGAUUUCAGUGAAUCAUCGAAUCUUUGAACGCACCUUGCGCCUUGUGGUAUUCCACAAGGCAUGCCCGUUUGAGUAUCAUUAAAUCAUCAACUCUAAAACCUUUGUGGUUUUUUUAGAGCUUGGUCUUGAGGGUUUUGCAGGCUUUUUUUUUCGAGUCUGCUCCCUUUAAAUGCAUUAGCGAGACUUCCCUAUGCUGAACCGUCUCUUUGACGUGAUAAUUAUCUGCGUCGAAUUUUGGUUCUCGUCGGGCUUGCUUCUAAUCGUCUGUUAAAGACAAAACGGAUUUGGGUGCAUAUAUGCGCCUUUUUCCAAAACCUUUUUUGAUCUCAAAUCGGGUAGGACUACCCGCUGAACUUAAGCAUAUCAAUAAGCGGAGGA
rnacentral:misc_RNA from 1 species